GCCGGGCGCGGUGGCUCACGCCUGUAAUCCCAACUCAUCGGGAGGCAGAGGUAGGCGGAUCACUUGAGGUCAGGAGUUCGAGACCAGCCUGGCCAACAUGGUGAAAGCCUGUCUCUA
ensembl:misc_RNA Metazoa_SRP Metazoan signal recognition particle RNA